UGGGAAGUAUUGCACAAUGGCGCAAGCCUGAUGCAGCCAUGCCGCGUGUAUGAAGAAGGCCUUCGGGUUGUAAAGUACUUUCAGCGAGGAGGAAGGCAUUAAGGUUAAUAACCUUGGUGAUUGACGUUACUCGCAGAAGAAGCACCGGCUAACUCCGUGCCAGCAGCCGCGGUAAUACGGAGGGUGCAAGCGUUAAUCGGAAUUACUGGGCGUAAAGCGCACGCAGGCGGUCUGUCAAGUCGGAUGUGAAAUCCCCCGGGCUCAACCUGGGAACUGCAUUCGAAACUGGCAGGCUAGAGUCUUGUAGAGGGGU
rnacentral:rRNA from 1 species